AGAUAAUCGAUGAGCAAGAAGAGUAGCUUUUGUUUUUCAGCGAGUUCGGGAAGGUGUGAGCCGAACAAUCAAGAAAGUGAAGCGCACUUGUGAGAUUUUGCCUAGCAAACGGAAUUCUGCCGUUAUCAGAAAUAAGUAGGUCUUUUAAGAAUCAUUCCUUAAAGGACAAAUAGAGUGGUACCGCGGGAAAUCUCGUCUCUAGU
rnacentral:ncRNA from 1 species